rnacentral:rRNA from 1 species
UACGUAGGAUGCAAGCGUUGUCCGGAAUUACUGGGCGUAAAGGGCGAGCAGGUGGCACUACAAGUCUGAUGUAAAUCUCCGGCUUAACUGGGAGGGGCCAUUGGAAACUGAUAGAGCUGGAGUGCAGGAGAGGCUAACGGAAUUCCCGGUGUAGUGGUGGAAAUGCGUAGAUAUCGGGAGGAACACCAGUGGCGAAGGCGGUUAGCUGGCCUGUAACUGACACUGGAGGCGCGAAGGCGUAGGGGAGCGAACAGG